rnacentral:rRNA from 1 species
UACAGGGGGUGCAAACGUUGCUCGGAAUCAUUGGGCGUAAAGCGCACGUAGGCGGUUUGUUAUGUCGGAUGUGAAAGCCCUUGGCUCAACUGAGGAAGUGCAUCCGAAACUGGCAAGCUAGAGUACUAAAGAGGGUCGCGGAAUUCCCGGUGUAGAGGUGAAAUUCGUAGAUAUCGGGAGGAACACCGGUGGCGAAGGCGGGUCUCUGGGCCGAUAUUGACGCUGAGGAGCGAAAGCGUGGGGAGCGAACAGG